rnacentral:rRNA from 1 species
CCAAUAGCGUAUAUUAAAGUUGCUGCGGUUAAAAAGCUCGUAGUUGAAUUUCGGAAUUGAUGCAUCGGUCGUGCCUUAAGGGGCAUGAACUGGUGUAGCCAAUUUCUCACCUUCUGGUGAAUUGUUGAUGUUCUUAAUGGGUGUCUCAAUGAACUAGAAUUUUUUACUUUGAAAAAAUUAGAGUGUUUAAAGCAGGCAUUAAUUUGCUUGAAUACAUUAGCAUGGAAUAAUGAAAUAGGACAGUGGUUCCGUUUUGUUGGUUUCUAGGAUCACGUAAUGAUUAAUAGGGACAGUUGGGGGCAUUAGUAUUCAAUUGUCAGAGGUUAAAUUCUUGGAUUUAUUGAAGACUAACUAUUGCGAAAGCAUUUGCCAAGGAUGUUUUCAUUAAUCAAGAACGAAAGUUAGGGGAUCAAAGACGAUUAAGUACGUCGUAGUCCUAACCAUAAACUAUACCGACUAGGAAUCAGACGAUGUUAAUUUUUUAAUGACUCGUUUGGUACCUUACG